rnacentral:rRNA from 1 species
GACGAACGCUGGCGGCAUGCCUAAUACAUGCAAGUCGAGCGAACAGAUGAAGUGCUUGCACUUCUGACGUUAGCGGCGAACGGGUGAGUAACACGUAAGGAAUCUACCUAUAAGCGGGGGAUAACAUUCGGAAACGGGUGCUAAUACCGCAUAAUAUCUUCUUCCGCAUGGAAGAAGAUUGAAAGACGGCUCUGCUGUCACUUAUAGAUGACCUUGCGGUGCAUUAGUUAGUUGGUGGGGUAAUGGCCUACCAAGACGAUGAUGCAGAGCCGACCGGAGAGGGUAAUCUGCCAGAUCGGGAAUGAGACACGGCCCAAACUCCUACGGGAGGCAGCAGUAGGGAAUCUUCCGCAAUGGGCGAAAGCCUGACGGAGCAAUGCCGCGUGAGUGAAGAAGGCCUUCGGGUCGUAAAACUCUGUUAUAAGAGAAGAACAAAUUGUAGAGUAACUGCUACAGUCUUGACGGUAUCUUAUCAGAAAGCCACGGCUAACUACGUGCCAGCCGCCGCGGUAA